AUUGAACGCUGGCGGCAUGCCUAACACAUGCAAGUCGAACGGGGCAGCAAUGCCUAGUGGCGGACGGGUGAGGAAUACGUAGGAAUCUGCCCUUAAGUGGGGGAUAACCAGGGGAAACCCUGACUAAUACCGCAUGAUCUCUUCGGAGCAAAGAGGGGGACCGCAAGGCCUCUCGCUUCUGGAUGAGCCUACGUCUGAUUAGCUAGUUGGUAGGGUAAAGGCCUACCAAGGCGACGAUCAGUAACUGGUCUGAGAGGAUGAUCAGUCACACCGAAACUGAGACACGGUCCGGACUCCUACGGGAGGCAGCAGUGGGGAAUAUUGGACAAUGGGCGCAAGCCUGAUCCAGCAAUGCCGCGUGUGUGAAGAAGGCCUUCGGGUUGUAAAGCACUUUAGCCUGGAAAGAAAAAACUUUGGUUAACACCCAAAGUCUUGACGGUACCAGGAGAAUAAGCACCGGCUAACUCUGUGCCAGCAGCCGCGGUAACAC
rnacentral:rRNA from 1 species